CGAUACACACACACGAGUCCGGUGAGAGAGAGCAAGUUAGUUAUGUUUUCUCUCCAGGUUUCUUUGGCUUCUGAUGAAACACGUCACAUGUUUCAGCACCAUGGAUGGAGGACAGAGAUCUGUAUAGUUUUGGCUCGUGUACAGAAGUGGAUACCAACGAAAGUUUUCAGUGUGGUCAUGUGAUCAGAGAGACUUUUUGUGGCCGACGUUAUCAGUCUUUAUCAAUCUUCACGCUUUUGUAUUUGGUUGUAAAGAAGCUGUUCUGGUGUGAACAUAAAUCUGAUUUGCUUGAAGCUGGAACAGAAAACAGUAACAUGAAGUAACAGAUCACAUGACAGAAUGGUGCUCUAGUUGGAAGCGACAGUCCUGUCGAUCCAGGAGCGUAGCUGGGAGAUGCGGGCGUAGACUACUGGAAAACGGGUGUCACAAGUUCUGGUUCCCCAGGACACAGAGCCCACCAGAGUCCAGACCCCUGAACGCUUACACACCAGAGGACCUCCAGAAUCACCCUGUGGAAAACACACAUUUGAGACUGAACAGCAGCAACAUUGAUUUGAUAAUGUGUUUAUCUUGAUCUGUCUUUACGUACCAUGCAAGACGAGGAUCCAGCUCCUCCAGCACAGAUCAUGGAAUCAGUGAUAGUGCUCUGACCCCAGAUCUGUCUGCACACAGCAGGACUCGUGAUGGGGAUGCC